rnacentral:rRNA from 1 species
GUGAGGAAUAUUGGUCAAUGGGCGGGAGCCUGAACCAGCCAAAUCGCGUGAAGGAUGAAGGUAUUAUGUAUUGUAAACUUCUUUUAUCGGGGAAUAAAGUGCAUCACGUGUGGUGUUUUGUAAGUACCCGAAGAAUAAGGAUCGGCUAACUCCGUGCCAGCAGCCGCGGUAAUACGGAGGAUCCGAGCGUUAUCCGGAUUUAUUGGGUUUUAAGGGUGCGUAGGCGGACUAUCAAGUCAGCGGUGAAAGUUCAUGGCUCAACCAUGGAAUUGCCGUUGAAACUGAUGGUCUUGAGUGUAGAUGAGGUAGGCGGAAUUCGUGGUGUAGCGGUGAAAUGCAUAGAUAUCACGAAGAACACCGAUUGCGUAGGCAGCUUACCAAGCUACAACUGACGCUGAGGCACGAAGGUGCGGGGAUCAAACAGGAUUAGAUACCCGGGUAGUCC